rnacentral:rRNA from 1 species
GAUGAACGCUAGCGGCAGGCCUAACACAUGCAAGUCGAGGGGUAGCAGGAUUAAGCUUGCUUAAUUGCUGACGACCGGCGCACGGGUGCGCAACUCGUAUGCAACCUACCUUAUACUGGGGUAUAGCCCGGAGAAAUUCGGAUUAAUCCCCCAUAGUACUAAUGAAUCGCAUGCAUUAUUAGUUAAAGCAUUGCGGUAGAAGAUGGGUAUGCGUCAUAUUAGCUAGAUGGUGAGGUAACGGCUCACCAUGGCUACGAUAGGUAGGGGGCCUGAGAGGGUGGUCCCCCACACUGGUACUGAGACACGGACCAGACUCCUACGGGAGGCAGCAGUGAGGAAUAUUGGUCAAUGGGCGCAAGCCUGAACCAGCCAUGCCGCGUGCAGGAAGAAUGCCCUAUGGGUUGUAAACUGCUUUUAUUUGGGAAUAAACCUCUUUACGUGUAGAGAGCUGAAGGUACCAAAUGAAUAAGCACCGGCUAACUCCGUGCCAGCAGCCGCCGUAA